rnacentral:rRNA from 1 species
AUUGAACGCUGGCGGCAGGCCUCACACAUGCACGUCGAACGAGUGGCGGACGGGUGAGUAAUGUCUGGGAAACUGCCUGAUGGAGGGGGAUAACUACUGGAAACGGUAGCUUAUACCGCAUACCAUCAGAUGUGCCCAGAUGGGAUUAGAUUGUUGGUGGGUUAACGGCUAACCAAGUCGAAGAUCCAUAUCUGGUCUGAGAGGAUGACCGGACACACUGGAACUGAGACACAGUCCAGACUCCUACGGAAGGCAGCAGUGGGGAAUAUUGCACAAUGGGAGCAGGCCUGAUGCAGCCAUGCCGCGGGUAUGAAGAAGGACUUCGGGUUGUAAAGUACUUUCAGCGGGGAGGCGUUACCCGCAGAAGAAGCACCGGCUAACUCCGUGCCAGCAGCCGCGGUAAUUC